AAUUUUUUUACGUCCCCUGCCCUUUGUACAACAACCGCCCGUCGGUAUCUUCCCGAUUAGAUGGCUCAGUGAGGCGUCCGGACUGGCCCAGAGAGGCGGGCAACUGCCACUCAGGGCCGGAAAGCUCUCCAAACUCGGUCAUUUAGAGGAAGUAAAAGUYGUAACAAGGUCUCCGUUGGUGAACCAGCGGAGGGAUCAUUA
rnacentral:rRNA from 1 species